rnacentral:rRNA from 1 species
UACGAAGGGGGCUAGCGUUGCUCGGAAUCACUGGGCGUAAAGGGUGCGUAGGCGGGUCUUUAAGUCAGGGGUGAAAUCCUGGAGCUCAACUCCAGAACUGCCUUUGAUACUGAGGAUCUCGAGUCCGGGAGAGGUGAGUGGAACUCCGAGUGUAGAGGUGAAAUUCGUGAGAUAGUUCGGAAAGAACGACCAGUGCGAAGGCGGCUCACUGGCCCGGUACGUGACGCUG